rnacentral:rRNA from 1 species
UACAGAGGGUGCAAGCGUUAAUCGGAAUUAUUGGGCGUAAAGGGUGCGUAGGUGGUUUAAUAAGUUAGGUGUGAAAGUCCUGGGCUCAACCUGGGGAGGUCGCCUAAAACUGUUAGGCUAGAGUACUGUAGAGGGAAGUGGAAUUUCCGGUGUAGCGGUGAAAUGCGUAGAUAUCGGAAGGAACAUCAGUGGCGAAGGCGACUUUCUGGACAGAUACUGACACUGAGGCACGAAAGCGUGGGUAGCAAACAGGAUUAGAUACCCUGGUAGUCCACGCUGUAAACGAUGAAGACUGGCUGUUGGGUGCCGUGAGGCAUUUAGUAGCGAAGCUAACGCGUUAAGUUUUCCGCCUGGGGAGUACGGCCGCAAGGCUAAA